CUUCUUCAACGGUUUGCGGGUGGUGGUGUCCUCGGGUCAGUUUCAUAUACCUGCAUUGGCUCACGUGUCCAGGCCCCCCAUGGGAGCAGGCGGAGGAGAACGUCUACCUGAACGAACCCUGCGGUCUGCGGCGCACUCGCUCCAUCCCUCCCCCCGCCACAGAAGAGCCCCCUGCUCUUCCGCCCAAGCCAGGGCGAAGGGGCUUCCAGAGGCGGAACAACUCCUCCCCGAGCCCUGCCCGUCACGGCAGCUUGUCAGAUGACAUACGGACUCAGAAGCCCCUCCCCCCACCCCCAGCCCCCCAGGAGAAUAGCAGUCAGACGAGACAGCUGAGCCAGGCGGCCGACAUGCUGGCCCAGGCAAUAUCAGAGGAGCUCAAGCUGAAGCUGGAGACCAGACGAGGCAGUCAGCACUGAUCCCUCCCCACUUCACCGCGUCGCCAGCAGAAGCACAGCUGCCCCCUGGAGCAUUGUCACUUCCCUGCGGGAUCGUCCCCUGAGGAGGGGCACCGCAGGCAGGGAGAUCACCGUUUAAAAGACUUUAAAACUGCGCGAGCUGCCUGCGUUUGUUUACUUUGCGCACGGAACGGUUAAGGAUUUGUUUAGAGGACUCUCAUGUGUCACGUUCGCUCUCUGUGCUUUGGUGCUUUGUGUCGAGACAGGCUCUCCUGGACACGCGUGUGCCGGAGGGUGCCGUUAACGUGUUUGUGCUGAAUGUGCUAGUGCUUCUUCAGGAUUAAAGGCUCUGCGCCGGAGGCUGGUCCGAACUGUUUGGAGUCCAUCUGUCAGGCGGACUUGCGCCCCCUGGUGGUGAGAUGGUCGCAGCGGGGAUCAGGGUUCUCACUGGGGGUGGGGGUGAGUUCAGCAUGUAAUCAGG
rnacentral:lncRNA from 1 species